rnacentral:sRNA from 1 species
CCGAUUUGAUCGGGAUACUCAUCAAUUUUAAAACAACAGCCGAGAAAGCUUCUUUUGUCAAUGGCGGGCCAUAUAAAAUCCGUAAGGAACUAAGCUGAAAAGCCGGUGGAUUACAAAGACGGAGAGCACUCAAUUCUUAUAUUACUCGGAGUUUCAUCACAUCAUCGGG